rnacentral:lncRNA from 1 species
ACUGUUUAAAAAAGAAAAAGGAAGAAUGUAAAAGUAAUCUUGUCACAGUAGUCAUAGGCCAAUGAUUGAGCCUGUAUGUCAACUACCCUCUUAAUUUUGUGAAGGUAAAAGUUAAAUAAUAUAGUCUGGGGUGUGUAACUCAGUGCAUUUGCCUAGCAUGUGUGAGGACCUGGGUUCCAUCCCCAGCACUGCACAGAAAUAAAUAAAAAAGUGAAAUAAUAGGUGGAAGUACAGGUAAAUGUAAGUUAAUGUUUUACCACCUAAAUUUUAGCCAUUAUUGCAUCCUUAAUUAUGGUUAAUAUUUUAAAUUAGUUUUCCACUGCAAGUGAAUAGCUCAUUAGGAUCUAUUAGGUCCUAUAAGUCCUAAAGAGGAGUUAAAGACCCAGUGACAGUAGUAUGAAAGAUUGAGGUAGUGGUGCCAUUUCAUUAAAUUGGGAAGGUCAGGAACCCGAAUGGCCAAGUCAUAUGUCUGGGAAGUGACAAGUAGGAAGUAGUUUGGUGGAGAGAGAUGGCUUUAAAGAUUUAAUUCAGAUCCUCGUAAGAGUUGAAUGCUAUUGUAAAUAAUUGGUCCUUUUUGUCAGAAUAUUGGUGAAAAAUCAUUGAAGGUUUUUUUUUUUUAAUAUUUAUUUAGUUGUAGAUGAACACACAGUAUCUUUAUGUAUUUUUAUGUGGUGUUGAGGAUUGAACCCAAUGCCUCACACAUGCGAGGCAAGCACUUUACCAUUAAACUACAGCCUCAGCCCCCCAUUAAAGGUUUUUAAAGGAUGGAACAAAGUUGGCCUAAUUCAAUUUUAGCAAAAUUAAGUAUUUUGUUGUGGUGGUGGGUUUGUUGUUGUUGUUGUUGUUAGAGAACUGAAGGGACCCAGAGCAUAUAGGUUUUAUGCUUCUUGGAUGAAGUUGACCUGCAGAAGUAAAUUUUUGGUUUUUAGAGUUCUUAUGAAGAGGGUGGAUUUUUCUGUCUCUAAUACUUUAUUGCCACAUUACAUUAAGUUGUUAGAUUGGUUACAUUAACGUAAAAUUCCAAACUAAUGAUUGCCAAUAUGUUGAGCAGAUGUUCACUAAAUGUUAGGUACUAUUGUGAAAGCUGUAUAC